AUUUUUGAUCAUUCUGAAUCCUCCUGGAUCACUGGAUCGCAUUAUAACUCCACAAUUAAGUGUGCUAAGGCUAGAGUAGUACUGGGAUGGGUGACCACCCGGGAAGUCCUAGUGUUUUACAUG
rfam:Picea glauca, whole genome shotgun sequence.